AUGGUUGGGAUAGCUCAGUUG
rnacentral:tRNA from 33 species